UGGAUUGAUAGCUCAAUUGGAUAGAGCACCCGCCUUCUAAGCGGGUGGUUACAGGUUCGAGUCCUGUUCAGUCCGA
rnacentral:tRNA from 1 species